UCUACAGACAUUGUGCCUUUCUCCUCCUCAAGCCCACAGUAGGGAAAGGCCUGGUACCUUGGACAGCACCCAUAAUUCCGUAGGCCAAGUCAGGGCAGCAUUGUAAUGGAACAAAAAUACCUUUGAAAUGGUACUGUUAGCACUUGUAAAAGCAGGCCCGGGAAGCUGACUUCCCACAGCUGCACCAGGACCUUCAGGUGUGUGGUAGUACAUCUUUUUUCAGAAUGGAACAAGAAGCAAGUCUGAGGAAAGUGAAGGGAGGGACUGAAGAGCUGCAGGCCCAGGAAUCAGCACCAGCUUGCAAAGGACAGAGAAGGGGAAUGUAAUUCCCAUUGUUCUUGGAAAGACACCGGCAGCCUCACCAGCCCAGGAGAACUGCAAGACCUACUGGGUAAAGACUUGCUCCGUGCAGCUGUCUGUAGCCUCCUGUAUACCUGGAUUGGCAAAGCUUAGGCUUCUCAUUAGCACUCUUAGUGAGGCCUGCCCCACUGAUUCCUUCUGUGCACAGUAGAGAGUCUGCACAGGCCUGGGGCUCUGUCCAAGGUACUGAAGGUCUGACCCAAUCCUGUUUACCAAAACUUCCCCCACUGCCACUUCACCUUUGAAUCCGAAGAGAAACUUUAACUGUGAACUCUGUAUGGUCUGCAGCAAAAGCCCCCGAGCACCAGGGUGACAGGCCCUUCAUGUGACUGUCGUGAAUGGUAGCUGUGCUUGCACUCACCUGGAUGCGGUCAGGCACCCCAGUGCUGUCCAUACGGCUGGCCACAUUCACUGUAUUGCCCCAGAUGUCAUACUGAGGCUUGCGAGCCCCAAUGACUCCAGCCACUACAGGUCCAAUGUUGAGCCCUGUGUGGACAGAAAUCAGCCAUACUCAUCAGCUAAAGCCACACAUACGUUGCUUGCUAUUUAUUGCCAGCAUCCUCCUUUUGGCACUUUGUGGGUGCUCCCGAUUCCUGCUGGACUGAGGCUAAGCUUAAUCUCUGAGCCUCACGUUUCUGCACUAUCCAUAGUUCAAGAAAGCAAGGAUGUGUAUGCACAUCCACUGGUACUGUGUGUGUCCUUAUCUCAACCCUUAAGUCCCUUGCCAUGUGUACCCUCGUCAAGGUCUCCAGGAACAUCUAGCAUAGCCCAAUACCUUUCUUUUUACAUGUAUUUGAUUCAAGUAUCUCUGUGAGCAUGUGGUACAUGCACAUGAGGAUGCCUGCAGAGGCUAGAUGAGGGUAACUCAACCCUGGAGCUGGAGUUAAGGGUGACUCGUUGGGCUUGGGUGCUGGAAAUCAAACCUGGGUACUUUGUAAGCAUUCUUUAGCCACUGAGCCAUCUCUAGCUGCCCAAUGCUUUUUCUUAUCCUUCCCUCUUGAUAACAUAUUUCAGUACCAACUCAGAGGACAGCACAAACUCGCUCCAUCUCUCUUCCUCACUCUUGAGACCUUGCACCUGGCCCAUUCCCUUAUCCUGUCACAGCACAUGUGGCUUUUUAAGCUAACAUGCUAUUUCUAUGCUAGACUGACCCUAUCACCGACCAGACUGAGCUCAGAUGGCUUCUAUUCCAGAGACUAUGCUACCAAGACUGCUUAGUUGCCUGCUGGUAGAAUCUGUCAUUCCAUCCCCAGUCUGGUCCAGUCCAGUUGUUGAGACAGGUUACCAGGAGAAUACAAUGAACUGUAGCACGGCAAGUGGGGCAACAUUACAUGAAAAUAAGGCAGAGGUGACACAGACACGGGCACAGGCUGCAUGUGUGGGCUACAGCGGAUGCCUGGCCUCCAGAAGCCAAGUCCAACCCACAAACCACUGUGCCCAGAGGGCAAAAUAAGCAGCCUGUUCAGGGACAGCCUGAUUCCCGACACUUAGACCAGAACAAAGUAUCUCCUGGGGACAUUAAUGAUCACAAUAUUGUUUUUAAGUGAUGUAAUAUUUCAAUCUAAUGUGCUAAUUUUGAGAAUUGAAAUGCCAGUAUUUUUGUGAAUUACUGUU
rnacentral:lncRNA from 1 species